AGGACGAACGCUGGCGGCGUGCUUAACACAUGCAAGUCAAGGGGGCCCAGCAAUGGGCAACCGGCGAACGGGUGCGUAACACGUGAGCAACCUACCGAAAUGUGGGGGAUAGCCGGCCUAACGGCCGAGUAAUACCGCAUACGCUCUCGACGAGGCAUUUCAUUGAGAGGAAACCUACGGGACAUUUCGAGGGGCUCGCGGCCUAUCAGCUAGUUGGAGAGGUAACGGCUCACCAAGGCAACGACGGGUA
rnacentral:rRNA from 1 species